UCGAGAAUCUUUCGCAAUGGGCGAAAGCCUGACGAAGCGACGCCGUGUGAACGAAGAAGGCCUUCGGGUUGUAAAGUUCUUUCGCUUGGGAACAAGAGAGGCUGGGGAUAAUCCAGCUGAUUUGAGAGUACUAGGUAAAGAAGCACCGGCUAACUCCGUGCCAGCAGCUGCGGUAAUACGGAGGGUGCAAGCAUUAAUCGGAAUUAUUGGGCGUAAAGGGCGCGUAGGCGGGGAUGCAAGUCAGACGUGAAAUGCAAAGGCUUAACCUUUGAACGGCGUUUGAAACUGCAUUUCUUGAGGGUAAGCGGGGAGAAUGGAAUUCCACAAGUAGCGGUGGAAUGCGUAGAUAUGUGGAGGAACACCUGUGGCGAAGGCGAUUCUCUAGUUUAUACCUGACGCUGAGGCGCGAAAGCAAGGGGAGCAAACA
rnacentral:rRNA from 1 species